rnacentral:rRNA from 1 species
AGGGAAUAUUGGACAAUGGGCGAAAGCCUGAUCCAGCAAUGCCGCGUGAGUGAUGAAGGCCUUAGGGUUGUAAAGCUCUUUUACCCGGGAUGAUAAUGACAGUACCGGGAGAAUAAGCUCCGGCUAACUCCGUGCCAGCAGCCGCGGUAAUACGGAGGGAGCUAGCGUUGUUCGGAAUUACUGGGCGUAAAGCGCACGUAGGCGGCUAUUCAAGUCAGAGGUGAAAGCCCGGGGCUCAACCCCGGAACUGCCUUUGAAACUAGAUAGCUUGAAUCCAGGAGAGGUGAGUGGAACUCCAUGUGUAGCGGUGAAAUGCGUAGAUAUAUGGAAGAACACCAGUGGCGAAGGCGGCUGUCUGGUCUGUAACUGACGCUGAGGCUCGAAAGCAUGGGUAGCGAACA